UACAGAGGGUGCGAGCGUUGUCCGGAAUUAUUGGGCGUAAAGAGCUUGUAGGCGGUUUGUCGCGUCUGCUGUGAAAUCUCAAGGCUCAACCUUGAGCUUGCAGUGGGUACGGGCAGACUAGAGUGUGGUAGGGGAGACUGGAAUUCCUGGUGUAGCGGUGAAAUGCGCAGAUAUCAGGAGGAACACCGAUGGCGAAGGCAGGUCUCUGGGCAUUAACUGACGCUGAGGAGCGAAAGCAUGGGGAGCGAACAGG
rnacentral:rRNA from 1 species